rnacentral:lncRNA from 1 species
GACAGAGUUUACUUUAUUGUCUGAAGAGGAAAAUCCUGUCUGGAAACCAUUUCUUUCUAGCACUGCCUGGCACUGUACAUUCUUCCCUUCAAAACACAUCUUGAGAAAAAUUUGACAAAGAGUUUUUCUUACGCGAGUUACAUGGAUGUUGCUCUGCUGCAAGAAAAAUACUUAUUUGGAGACAGAAUGCAUCCACUGUCUGUUGUGACUCAGUAAAGAGAGAAAAUAGAGAGUAUUACAAUGAUCCCAUCCCUCUCCCUCAACCUUCAGCUGGCCUUUGUGUCUUUUUGGAUUUGGAGCUACAGCUUCAUACUGCGUGGAGGUUCAGCAGACUAUAACCUUGAAACAAAGCUCAUGAUGCUGAGGAAAAAAGAUGGCAUCUUCUAUGGCAGUUACUAAGACAGUGGUUUUACAUACAAGAACACAGUAAGGACUUUUAACUAGCUCAGUAGAAGAUAUCACACUGGAGAAGAAAAU